CAGUAGCCGCGGUAAUACGAAGGGGGCUAGCGUUGUUCGGAAUUACUGGGCGUAAAGCGCACGUAGGCGGAUUGUUAAGUUAGGGGUGAAAUCCCAGGGCUCAACCCCGGAACUGCCUUUAAUACUGGCAAUCUCGAGUCCGAGAGAGGUGGGUGGAAUUCCGAGUGUAGGGGUGAAAUUCGUAGAUAUUCGGAGGAACACCAGUGGCGAAGGCGGCUCACUGGCUCGGUACUGACGCUGAGGUGCGAAAGCGUGGGGAGCAAACAGGAUUAGAUACCCCCGUAGUCCCUGUCUCUUAUAC
rnacentral:rRNA from 1 species